AAGCGGAGGAAAAGAAACUAACAAGGAUUCCCCUAGUAACGGCGAGUGAAGUGGGAAGAGCUCAACUUUGUAAUCUGGCUGCUUCGCAGUCCGAGUUGUAGUCUAAAGAAGCAUGAUCCGCGCCGGACCUUGGGCAUGUCUGUUGGAAAGCAGUGUCAAAGAGGGUGAUAAUCCCGUACAUACCAAGGACGACCGUGUGCAUUGUGGUCUGCUCUCUAAGAGUCGAGUUGUUUGGGAAUGCAGCUCUAAUUGGGUGGUAAAUUCCAUCUAAAGCUAAAUAUCGACGAGAGACCGAUAGCGAACAAGUACAGUAAUGGAAAGAUGAAAAGUAGCCUGCAGAGGCAAUGAAACAAUACGUGAAACCGUUUGUAGGGAAGCGAUGGAACCUUUUCACGCUGCGAGGGUUCAGCCUUUCUUCGGAUUGGUGUAUUCCCUCGUUUUGCGGACCAGCAUCAGUUUGCUUGGCAGUAUAAGGGUGUUUGGAACGUGGCUCCCACGGGAGUGUUAUAGCCUUUCACUGGAUGCUGCCUCGCAGACUGAGGACUGCAGUGCGCCAUUAUGGCAUAGUCUUCGGGCUACGAGCACUUAGGAUGCUGGGCGAAUGGGUUUCAACGACCCGUCUUGA
rnacentral:rRNA from 1 species